ensembl:lncRNA
GCAAAAAUAGGAAGAACCAGAGGAUUUUGGGAAAUGAAGUCCUACUCUACUCCGUCUUCUUGAAGCAAUAUAAAAGGGAUAACCUGCAUAUUUUUACAUCACUAAAAUUAUAGAAACACAGUAAAAUAAAUGUUUUUACACAUUUUUAGAGAGCCCUACAUAAGGUCAGAGACAUGUUUGAGACCCACUUUGGGGCUAAUAAAUCUAUCCCGGCAGCUAACAACACACGCUGGAAUAGCACCUUAAAACAGUUAAAAGCUCUCACCACACUUGACCACCGGGAUGUCAGAGAAAUGUGCAGCAAAUGUGAUCCAGAAAAUAUUGCGUUUUCAGUCCGAGAAUGGGCCCAGCUGAAAGACCUUUGUACUGAGCUUGAGCCUUUUUCUGAGGCAACAGACCUCACAGAGGGAGACACUGUGGUUACCAUCAGCAUGGUGGUCCCCACCGUCCGUAGAUUGUGACAAUAGUCAGAGCACUAAAAAAGUCUUUAGAGAAGAGGUUCUCAGGGAUCUUCAGAAGGAUCAACAUGGAGCAGGGGGAUCCCGAGGAGCCAUUUAAUCAUCGGAUCUACUUCCUUGCCGCCAUGCUUGAUCCCCAGUUUGGUUUGAGCUGGGUAGAUUUAGAUGUCCAUAAUGGGGAAUCCGGUCCAGCACUGAAGAGGUUCAGAGACGACCUUAAGAAAUCAUUAACAGACCUUUUGAUCAAAGAGUUAGACCAAGAUGCAACUGCUGCACCUCUAGCAGAAGAUGCAGAAGAUGCAGGAGAAUUGUGCCGUGACUCACCGCCACCCCUGAAACAACAGCGUCUUCUUUCACGCUACAAUGCGUCUAAGAUGCAGCACAGCACAACCCGGGACUCGAGCAUUACUGCACAAAUAAGCAAGUACCUGGACAACAUGAAUGACUAUGACUGUGAUGCACUGACCUUUUGGUCAAAAACCAAGAGCAUUUCCCUCAACUACACAAUGUCGCCUUAAAAGUCCUCUCCGUCCCUGCCUCUUCUGCCCCAGUAGAGAGAGUUUUUAGCAGAGGAGGCAUUCUAAUGAGACCCCACAGAGCACGGCUAGGCCAUAAGAAGCUGCAGUCUUUAGUGUUCUUGAAGUGCAAUCAACGACAGCUUUAACAUGUGAACUCACAUACAUCUGCCUCACAUACAUCAAGUAAACACACUCAUACUACUGACAUGCUUACACUCCCCAGCACACACUCACAAAACUACAGACACACAAAUGGUUUCACACAGAAAGCUACAAAAAAGACACAUACACAGAGGACACACUCACUCAACACACAAAUGGGUGCAUGAUACAGAAUGCCUUUCGUCCUACAGUUUCAAUGUAUUAGUUUAUGUAUCUGUUCUUUGUUUGUGAUGUCUGUGUUCUAUUGUUCUUGUCCCACUGAACUACAGGCUUCAUAUAUAUAAGUGUGUUAUAAUUGAGAUGCCAUUACACACAUCAAGGUGACAGAAUCUUGUGAUCACUAGUUCUUCCUCUUGCUAAUGUACAAUUUGAAGUACAGUUUUGUAAACUAUUUGUAUUUUGCAUUUGAUUUGAUGCAUUUUUUGGUGCACCUGCGUGUGUGUCUAUGUAUUUAAUUACAGUAUUGUGCUUAUAAUGGCCUUGUUUGAAUAAAUAUAUGGCAUCAUUGGCCUUUGAAUAAUAUAUGCAUAUCGUUGUGAUUGAUUUAGCAUUAGGCCUA